UAAAGUACAAUACGGACCAGCUUGGGCC
rnacentral:piRNA from 1 species